UACGGAGGAAGCGAGAAUUAUCCGGAAUUAAUGGGCGUAAAGCGUCCGUAGGUGGUGAUUCAAGCCAGCGGUUAAAGCGUGGGGCUUAACCUCAUACAGGCCGUUGAAACUGGAUUGCUAGAGUGCGGUAGGGGUCGAGGGAAUUCCCAGUGUAGCGGUGAAAUGCGUAGAUAUUGGGAAGAACACCGGUGGCGAAAGCGCUCGGCUGGGCCUGCACUGACACUGAGGGACGAAAGCUAGGGGAGAGAAAGGG
rnacentral:rRNA from 1 species